UAAUAAAUUAUAAGUUUUAAAAAUUGUUUUAGUUGUUCAGAAAAAAAUUUAUCCAUGACAAAGAAACCGCUAGGCAGUUAGACAUCCAAAUCACGUCAUUUAGCGUUUUCACAAACAAGUAUCUUCCACAAUUCAAGAAUUCACAAUUAAAUAACUGCUCCACCGAUCAGAAACCAAAACAUGAUUUGGAGACGGUUGAACACGAAGACAACAAAACUCAAGUCAUCAUUCACAGGUGGGGUGGCGAGAAGAACAUGUGAAUGGAUGGUCGUUUUUGUGUUACCUUUUAUAACUUUUUUUUCAAUUCAUUUUGCAAAGUUUUAUGGCUGCCCAAAACUUACGUUUACGAGUUGUUUGACAUUUAUAAGCAAACAGAAAUUUCAGUGAGAUCAAACCAGCAUAAGAAUCAUCUAAAGAUUGGCUAACUUGAUAAGAAGAAGGAAUAGCUUCUAAGUCCUCGGGUUCAUAAACGUUAAUGGCGUCACUUAAAAACUCGGUUUAAUCUGGGACAAGAUCAAUGUAAUACAACAAAGAAACUGGGUGUUAAUAAUUCGACUAAGAUUUAAAGCUCGCAAGAAUAGCAAUAGAGUUUAUACUCUAUUGGUAAAGAAGACUUGGUGGUUGGGACUGGAACCCUAGUGGUUUCACUAUAUUGGAUUUCGCCCUCAAGUUGAUUACCACUCGACCAAAAGCACUGGUUUCUGUUGUUGUCUUCUAAUCAUUUUCAUUAUUUUAUUUGUUGUUUUCGGUUAUCAUAGAGAUUUACAUAGAAGGAGACAUUAUAUCUUAUGUUUGCACUUAAAGACACAUUGUCUAGUUGACACACUUUGUGUGGACGGCUGUUUUAUUUUGGAAAGAAAUAACUCUGCCCGUAAGUAAAAUAAUAUUUUUUAAAAAGGCAACUGUAAGCUAACUAGGUUUGUGUCUGAUUAUAAAUUCUAUCAAAAAAAAAUUCUAUAACUUUAUUUAGAUGGUAUUUUUACUUUUUGAGAAAUAAAUUAGGAAGACCAUGAUA